AGUCACUGACAUUAGAUACCCCUGUAGUCCAGGGUGUAAACGCUGCAGACUUGGUGUUGGAAGUCCUUUGGGGGCAUUCAGUGCCGGAGAGAGGUUGUUAAGUCUGCUACUUGGGGAGUACGUCCGCAAGGAUGAAACUUAAAGGAAUUGGCGGGGGAGCACCGCAACGGGAGGAGCGUGCGGUUUAAUUGGAUUCAACACCGUAAACUCACCAGGGAAGACUGUUACAUGAAGGCCGAGAUGAAGACUCUGCUAGAUUUUCAG
rnacentral:rRNA from 1 species